rnacentral:rRNA from 1 species
GAUGAACGCUGACAGAAUGCUUAACACAUGCAAGUCGAUGGGGAAGUGGUGCUUGCACCCUGGUAACCAUGGCGGACGGGUGAGUAACGCGUAAGGAACUUACCUGCGGGACCGGGAUAACAGCAGGAAACUGCUGACAAGACCGGAUAAGGUCAUUAAGCUGCAUAGCUUAGUGAUGAAAGGAGACGCCUGCGGAGAGCCUUGCGUCCUAUUAGCUAGUUGGAGGGGUAACGGCCCACCAAGGCGAAGAUAGGUAGCCGGCCUGAGAGGGUGGACGGCCACAAGGGGACUGAGAUACGGCCCUUACUCCUACGGGAGGCAGCGGUGGGGAAUAUUGGACAAUGGGGGCAACCCUGAUCCAGCAAUUCUGUGUGCACGAAGACGGUUUUCGGAUUGUAAAGUGCUUUCAGCAGGGAAGAAGGAAGUGACGGUACCUGCAGAAGAAGCGACGGCUAAAUACGUG